rnacentral:rRNA from 1 species
UACGUAGGGGGCAAGCGUUAUCCGGAUUUACUGGGUGUAAAGGGGGCGCAGACGGCGAUGCAAGCCAGGAGUGAAAGCCCGGGGCCCAACCCCGGGACUGCUCUUGGAACUGCGUGGCUGGAGUGCAGGAGGGGCAGGCGGAAUUCCUGGUGUAGCGGUGAAAUGCGUAGAUAUCAGGAGGAACACCGGUGGCGAAGGCGGCCUGCUGGACUGCAACUGACGUUGAGGCGCGAAAGCUGGGGGAGCGAACAGG